GACGAACGCUGGCGGCGUGCUUAACACAUGCAAGUCGAACGAUGACGACCGAGCUUGCUCGGUCUGAUUAGUGGCGAACGGGUGAGUAACACGUGAGCAACCUGCCCUUCACUCUGGGAUAACCUCGGGAAAUCGGGGCUAAUACCGGAUAUGAGCUCCUGUCGCAUGGCGGGUGUUGGAAAGUUUUUCGGUGAAGGAUGGGCUCGCGGCCUAUCAGUUUGUUGGUGAGGUAGUGGCUCACCAAGGCGAUGACGGGUAGCCGGCCUGAGGGGGCGACCGGCCACACUAGGACUGAGACACGGCCCAGACUCCUACGGGAGGCAGCAGUGGGGAAUAUUGCACAAUGGGCGAAAGCCUGAUGCAGCGACGCCGCGUGAGGGAUGACGGCCUUCGGGUUGUAAACCUCUUUCAGCAGGGAAGAAGCGAAAGUGACGGUACCUGCAGAAGAAGCGCCGGCUAACUACGUG
rnacentral:rRNA from 1 species